rnacentral:rRNA from 1 species
UACGGAGGGUGCAAGCGUUGCUCGGAAUUAUUGGGCGUAAAGGGUAGGUAGGUGGUCUCAUUUGUCUGGGGUGAAAGCCUUGAGCUUAACUCAAGAAGUGCCCCAGAAACGGUGAGACUAGAGUCCUGGAGAGGGUCGUGGAAUUCCCGGUGUAGCGGUGAAAUGCGUAGAGAUCGGGAGGAACAUCAGUGGCGAAGGCGGCCAUCUGGAUCAACACUGACGCUGAGACACGAAAGCGUGGGGAGCAAACAGG